UACGAAGGGUGCAAACGUUGCUCGGAAUCAUUGGGCGUAAAGCGCACGUAGGCGGCUCCAAAAGUCGGAUGUGAAAUCCCUGGGCUCAACCGAGGAAGUGCAUCCGAAACUGCGGAGCUUGAGUAUGGAAGAGGGUCGCGGAAUUCCCGGUGUAGAGGUGAAAUUCGUAGAUAUGCGGAGGAACACCGAUGGCGAAGGCAAUCCCCUGGGCCUGCACUGACGCUCAUGCACGAAAGCGUGGGGAGCAAACAGG
rnacentral:rRNA from 1 species